AAAAUCUUUUACCUUCUCUUUGGGGCUAUCUUAAGCCUAUGUUUACAUUACAUAGGGAAGAGAAUAUUUUUUCUAAGAUAGUUUAGAAAAUGGUUUGUGACUCAAGGAUUUUUGACUGUCUUUAUUUAUAACAAAAUCUUUAGCCUCUUUUAUUUCUAAAACCAGCAAAAGACAUUUCUGAAGCUGUACAUCUCCUCAAAUGUAAUUUUUUUUUAUUUUUAGCAAAUAAAGAAAUCAGUAUUUGUGCAUCAGAAUUUCUUUAGGUUUCAUACUGCUGGGAAAUUAUAUAUAAUUUGGUUUUGGAUUGUAGUGAUUUUUAUACUCAGGAUCUCAUCUUCUGUCUGCUGCAGAAAUGGCUCCCUCACUCCUCUCCAGACCCUCUUCAAAGUGGCAUUGGCAAGACACAUGCAUCUCGCCUUUAGCUACUGUAAACUUAAUUUACAUGUGACUCUCUCAUUGCAAUAUUAUUAACCUAAGAUAGUCCUGUUUGUAAAGGAAUCUACAUGACACAUGUAUUUUAGUCUCAGUUGGACCCUCCAUCUGAUCAAAUUCUGUUCUAGAUUUGUUUCAAUUUUGUGAUAGCAAGAAUGAAAACAUUAUGUAGUUUCUGCUCCCUUAUUUUAUCUUCAACUGGUCUUGGUGACUUGUAAGCAUUACCUUGAAUUCACUGACAUCACAUAGUCUACUCCUACUUACUAAUCCUGAUAAAUGUUUUUCCAAUAAAAAUAUUUCUCUCCAAUGAGGGCUGUCUGCUUAGUAUCAUUCAUGUGGAUUUUAUUGAUUGAUAGCUGAAUCCAAAAGUAUUCUCUCUUAGGGCAUAGUGCUGUGCAGUUUCUCAUUUGGUAUUCUUUUGAAUUCUUUUUGUCUAGUUAACAAACUAUUUAACAAACUGCCCACAGAACAGAAGGCUUAAAGCAACGUUUUAUUACAGCUCACUAUUUUCUUGAUCAGAAAUUUGGAAAUUUGGGUGAUACAACUGUUUCCUGUGGCAUUAAUGGAGGUCUCUUGGUGGUAUUCAGCUGGCAGAUGGGCUAAUCUGCAGAGCCCAAGAUGGCUUUACUUACAUGUCUGCCACUUUGAUGGACAUGGCUGGAAGACUGACCUUAGCUACGCAGGGUUGGCUGCUCUUUGUCAAGGACUGAGAUAUUGUUUUCACACAUCAAUGCUAUCUACCUGAAAAGAAACUGAAUAUCUCAGUUGGACUGGAUUUCUGCAGUUGAUGAAUUAGAGUUAGGCCCAAAUCCCCAGUGUUAGGUCACAAAAACCUUACGUUCAGCCUGU
rnacentral:lncRNA from 1 species